CCUACGGGAGGCAGCAGUGGGGAAUAUUGCACAAUGGGCGAAAGCCUGAUCCAGCAACGCCGCGUGAGCGAAGAAGGCUUUCGGGACGUAAAGCUCUGUCCGCAAGGAAGAUAAUGACGGUACCUGACUAAGAAGCCCCGGCUAACUACGUGCCAGCAGCCGCGGUAAUACGUAGGGGGCAAGCGUUAUCCGGAUUUACUGGGUGUAAAGGGUGCGUAGGUGGUUUCUUAAGUCAGAGGUGAAAGGCCAGUGCCCAACCGUAGGAAGGCUCUGUAACUGGGGAAGGUUGGUGCAUGGGGGGAGAGUGGAAUUCCUAGUGUAGCGGUGAAAUGCGUAGAUAUUAGGAGGAACCCCAGUUGCGAGGGCGGCUCUCUGGACUGUCACUGACACUGUGGCGCGAAGGCGUGGGGAGCCAACAGGAUUAGAUACCAUGGUAGUC
rnacentral:rRNA from 1 species